UGAAUGUCCCGAGAAGCUCUCCAGGGGCCAGAGGGUCUGAACCUCAAGGAGAGGGUCCUGGGCUGCCCUGUGGGCUGACUAUGACACAGGUCCUUCUGUAGGAGUCAGCGUAGUGACAGUGGUUCCCACAUACUACAUGCUGACGCUGCACACAGAUUUUCUUCAAGGACCUUUCCGGGCCCUUGCUGCAGAAGUAGAGAUAAUUCUGUUAAAAAUUUCCAGUGAAAAAGUGACUACCCAGAAAC